GACGAACGCUGGCGGCGUGCCUAAUACAUGCAAGUAGAACGCUGAAGAGAGGAGCUUGCUCUUCUUGGAUGAGUUGCGAACGGGUGAGUAACGCGUAGGUAACCUGCCUGGUAGCGGGGGAUAACUAUUGGAAACGAUAGCUAAUACCGCAUAAAAUUGAUUAUUGCAUGAUAAUUAAUUGAAAGAUGCAACUGCAUCACUACCAGAUGGACCUGCGUUGUAUUAGCUAGUUGGUGAGGUAACGGCUCACCAAGGCGACGAUACAUAGCCGACCUGAGAGGGUGAUCGGCCACACUGGGACUGAGACACGGCCCAGACUCCUACGGGAGGCAGCAGUAGGGAAUCUUCGGCAAUGGGGGGAACCCUGACCGAGCAACGCCGCGUGAGUGAAGAAGGUUUUCGGAUCGUAAAGCUCUGAUGUAAGAGAAGAACGGGUGUGAGAGUGGAAAGUUCACACUGUGACGGUAUCUUACCAGAAAGGGACGGCUAACUACGUG
rnacentral:rRNA from 1 species